rnacentral:rRNA from 1 species
GCAUAUCUAUAAGCGGAGGAAAAGAAACUAACAAGGAUUCCCCUAGUAACUGCGAGUGAAGAGGGAAAAGCCCAGCACCGAAGGUAGUAUCCAUUUGGGUACCUACCAAUGUGGUGUUAAGGUCAGCUCACGUAGGUGCGGCUCCAUCUCAAGUCCAGCAAUGAGUACGGCUAUGGACUGAGCCCAGAGCGGGUGAAAGGCCCGUUGAGGUGGAGUUCAGAAAUGACCGCGCCUAUUGUGUUUGACCAUGGAGUCGGGUUGUUUGUGAAUGCAGCCCUAAGUGGGUGGUAAACUCCAUCCAAGGCUAAAUACUUACACGAGUCCGAUAGCGAACAAGUACCGUGAGGGAAAGUUGAAAAGUACUUUGAAGAGAGAGUAAACAGUGCGUGAAGCCGCAUAGAGGUUAAACGGGUAGAGUUAAACUGCGUGGGUCAUGGAUUCAGCCGAUGAAUUUGACUUGUGCUUGGACAAAUUGAUUCGUCCUCAGAGUCUGCUUAGCUGCAGGUCCCAUCCAGGAUUCGCGAAGCACUUACCAAGUGUUGCGUGCUCUGUUGAUGAGAUGUCAGUUCAUUGGUGCACUUCCAUGGCUCCUUGACCACGAUCGGUGUCAUUGGACUGUCCUCGUUGUCAAACUGUGGAUGUAGAACAUGUGUYUAUGUCUAUGGUGUGAUAGCACCCCUGCGUAUGCAGGUCACAGUUGGUUUCGAGAUACAAGCCGAUGGACCGGGACGACGGCCUUGGCGUGCUCUUAUGCCCUCUAAUAGAUUGUGUUGGGUAUGGUUUUUGAGUGCUUGUGUAAGCAGGCCCAUUGACUACUCAGUGUUUUCUAUUACUGUGGUGUUGGAGUGGCCAAUAUUGAGGGCCAAAGUCAGUGUUGUGUGGGAUACUAUCUACGCGA